rnacentral:rRNA from 1 species
AUUGAACGCUGGCGGCAGGCUUAACACAUGCAAGUCGAGCGGAGAGAGGUAGCUUGCUACUGAUCUUAGCGGCGGACGGGUGAGUAAUGCUUAGGAAUCUGCCUAUUAGUGGGGGACAACAUUUCGAAAGGAAUGCUAAUACCGCAUACGUCCUACGGGAGAAAGCAGGGGAUCUUCGGACCUUGCGCUAAUAGAUGAGCCUAAGUCGGAUUAGCUAGUUGGUGGGGUAAAGGCCUACCAAGGCGACGAUCUGUAGCGGGUCUGAGAGGAUGAUCCGCCACACUGGGACGGAGACACGGCCCAGACUCCGACGGGAGGCAGCAGUGGGGAAUAUUGGACAAUGGGCGGAAGCCUGAUCCAGCCAUGCCGCGUGUGUGAAGAAGGCCUUAUGGUUGUAAAGCACUUUAAGCGAGGAGGAGGCUACUUUAGUUAAUACCUAGAGAUAGUGGACGUUACUCGCAGAAUAAGCACCGGCUAACUCUGUGCCAGCCGCCGCAGUAAUAC